rnacentral:pre_miRNA from 1 species
GUGGGAGUUUAUUCGAGCAAAUUUAGUCAAACAAAAUUCAAGAAAUUUGUUCGUUAGGCUCGCACUA